UACAGAGGGCGCGAGCGUUGUCCGGAAUCACUGGGCGUAAAGGGCGCGUAGGUGGCCACUAUAAGGCCGCGGUGAAAGUUCGGGGCUCAACCCUGAAUCGGCCGCGGCGACUGUAGGGCUUGGGCACUGUAGAGGCAGAUGGAAUUCCUGGUGUAGCGGUGAAAUGCGCAGAUAUCAGGAGGAACACCGAUGGCGAAGGCAGCUCACUGGGACGGUACUGACGCUGAGACGCGAAAGCUAGGGGAGCGAACGGG
rnacentral:rRNA from 1 species